ACAUGCAGUCGAGCGAACAGAUGAGAAGUUUGCUUCUCUGAUGUUAGCGGCGGACGGGUGAGUAACACGUGGGUAACCUACCUAUAAGACUGGGAUAACUCCGGGAAACCGGGGCUAAUACCGGAUAAUAUUUUGAACCGCGUGGUUCAAUAGUGAAAGACGGUUUCGGCUGUCACUUAUAGAUGGACCCGCGCCGUAUUAGCUAGUUGGUAAGGUAACGGCUUACCAAGGCGACGAUACGUAGCCGACCUGAGAGGGUGAUCGGCCACACUGGAACUGAGACACGGUCCAGACUCCUACGGGAGGCAGCAGUAGGGAAUCUUCCGCAAUGGGCGAAAGCCUGACGGAGCAACGCCGCGUGAGUGAUGAAGGUCUUCGGAUCGUAAAACUCUGUUGUUAGGGAAGAACAAAUUUGUUAGUAACUGAACAAGUCUUGACGGUACCUAACCAGAAAGCCACGGCUAACUACGUGCCAGCAGCCGCGUUAAAUA
rnacentral:rRNA from 1 species